rnacentral:misc_RNA from 1 species
GAUGAAGAACGCAGCGAAAUGCGAUAAGUAAUGUGAAUUGCAGAAUUUAGUGAAUCAUCGAAUCUUUGAACGCAUAUUGCGCCCGCCAGCACUCUGGCGGGCAUGCCUGUUCGAGCGUCAUUUCAACCCUCAGGCCUCGUGUCUGGCGUUGGAGCGCUGCGGCCCUCCCGCAGGCCCCCAAAUCUAGCGGCGGACCCGCCCGGCCCUGAGCGCAGUAGAGAGUAGACUCUUACGCUUCGGCGGCCGUGGCGCGGUUUAUUCCUUCCGCCCCGUAGCGCCAAUGGCGCCACCCCAAUAAGUUGACCUCGGAUCAGGUAGGACUACCCGCUGAACUUAAGCAUAUCAAUAAGCGGAGGAA